rnacentral:rRNA from 1 species
GACGAACGCUGGCGGCGUGCUUAACACAUGCAAGUCGAACGGAAAGGCCUGCUUUCCCUUGUGGAUUGCGGGUACUCGAUUGGCGAACGGGUGAGUAACACGUGAGUGAUCUGCCCCCAACUUGGGUAUAAGCCUGGGAAACUGGGUCUAAUUCCCGAUAGGACUGCAGGGUGGUGGCGGUGGUGGAAAACGAUUGUCUAGUGGUUGGGGAUGAGCUCGCGGCCUAUGAGCUGGUUGGUGGGGUAAUGGCCUACCAAGGCGGCGACGGGUAGCCGGCCUGAGAGGGUGGACGGCCACAUUGGGACUGAGCAACCGCACAGACUCCUACGGACGGCAGAAGUGGGGAAUAGUGGAAGAUGGGCGGAAGCCUGAUGCAGCGACGCCGCGUGGGUGAUGACGGGCUUCGGGUGGUAAACUCCUUUCGACCGCGAGGAAGCCACCUGGUUGGAAGGGUGGUGACGGUAGUGGUAGAAGAAGCACCGGCUAACUACGUG